UAUCACUCAAGCGUAGCUUGGUAUUGGGCUUUCGUCAGAGAAUGACGAGUCUGAAAAUCAGUGGUGGAUGCCCUAUGGCUCUAGAUGCAGUAGUUAUUUUCUCAUCCAGAGUGCCUAGGGAGUUUCCUGCCAGAAGCUAGUGCAGCAAUGCCUACACCUAAA
rnacentral:misc_RNA from 1 species